CGGUAUCAGGCACAGUUAACGCCAGCCCAUGACACCUUGCUUAGCCACACCCUCAAGGGACUUCAGCAGUGAUAAACAUUAAGCUAUAAGUGAAAACUUGACUUAGUUAAAGCUAAAAGAGCCGGUAAAACUCGUGCCAGCCACCGCGGUUAUACGAGAGGCUCAAGUUGACAGACAACGGCGUAAAGAGUGGUUAAGGAAUUUACUAAACUAAAGCCGAACGCCCUCAGAACUGUUAUACGUUUCCGAAGGUAAGAAGCCCCACCACGAAAGUGACUUUAUUUUCCCCGACUCCACGAAAGCUGCGGAACAAACUGGGAUUAGAUACCCCAUUAUGCCCAGCCCUAAACUUUGAUAGACCAUUACACCCACUAUCCGCCAGGGUACUACGAGCAUUAGCUUAAAACCCAAAGGACUUGGCGGUGCUUUAUAUCCACCUAGAGGAGCCUGUUCUAGAACCGAUAACCCCCGUUAAACCUCACCCUCCCUUGUUUUUUCC
rnacentral:rRNA from 1 species